AAUCCGGUGGCCUAGUGGUUUGAACGACCGCCUUGGGUGCGGGAGGUCGUGGGUUCGAUCCCCGGCCGAGUCA